rnacentral:rRNA from 1 species
ACAGCGUAGCUCCCGCCAAAGUGUUCUCACCGCGGCACGGACGCUGAUAUUGGCCCCCCGUGCCCCUUUCGGCGCGGUCGGCCCAAAUAAUGGUCCCCGGAGGCGGGCGUCACGACCAGUGGUGGUUGAGAAACCCCUUUGUCCUGGACCGGCUGCGUGCCGACCUUCCUCCAACGCGGGCCGUCCGAACCCUUGCAUUGCGUCCCGACGGCAUUCACUCU